UCUUGGGUUUUGUUGUUUCCUCUAAGUUGAAAAUAAGCAUAGAUCCAGAGAUUCCCAAAUAGGUCAACCUUUUAAACUGCCCGCUGAAUCCAUGAGCAGGCAAGAGAGAACCUGGCGAACUGAAACAUCUUAGUAGCCAGAGGAAAUGAAAGCAAAAGCGAUUCCCGUAGUAGCGGCGAGAGAAAUGGGAGCAGCCUAAAGCGUGAAAACGGGGUUGUGGGAGAGCAAUACAAGCCUUGUGCUGCUAGGCGAAGCGAUUGAGUGCUGCACCCUAGAUGGCUAAAGUCCAGUAGCCGAAAGCAUCACUAGCUUACGCUCUGACCUGAGUAGCAUGGGGCACGUGGAAUCCCAUGUUCAUGUUGAUGACUCUAAGCUCAAU
rnacentral:ncRNA from 1 species